rnacentral:tRNA from 1 species
GCCGAUGUAGCUCAGCUGGCUAAAUGACUGAUUUGUAAUCAACAGGUCGUGGGUUCCGAGUCCCUCCAUCGGCUC